AUAGAAAUUGGAGGGGAAGGAUGAUUUUCAAGGCGAUCUAUGAUAUGCAUAAGGGAAACCAGAGCUGCAUAAGCCGCCAUGAUUAACUCUUUGAAUAAUGUAUAUAUUUAUGGGAAGGUGUGAAGGAAAAUAUAUGAGAUAAUAUUUGAGACGUGAAGAGGCAAUUAGCUAACUGGUAUAUUAUUAUGAUUCCACAAUUGAGAUAUGAAACUUUUU
rnacentral:lncRNA from 1 species